rnacentral:rRNA from 1 species
CCCUUAGAUGUUCUGGGCCACACGCGCGCUACACUGGAAGUUACGGAUUGAGAUACUACCUUGUCCGAAAUGGUCCGGGUAAUCACCUAAAAGCUUGUCAUAAUUGGAAUGGAUUAUUGUAACUAGUAAUCCUGAACGAGGAAUUCCUAGUAAGUCCCAGUCAACAGCUGGUACUGAUUACGUCCCUGCCCUUUGUACACACCGCCCGUCGCUACUACUGAUUGGACGUUUAAGCAAGAUUUUUAAACACUGACAGUGUGUAGUUCACGCUAUACUACAGUGAGAAGAAGAAGAUCGAGCUUACUUGUCUAGAGGAAGUAAAAGUCGUAACA